CAGGAGGUAGUUUAUGUAGAAUGUCAGCUUUGGGUGCUGAUGGUGGGGCUUAAGCCCUCUUCCUGA
rnacentral:tRNA from 1 species